rnacentral:lncRNA from 1 species
UUUGAUUAUGUUUACUAUAUUGUGUUAUAUUGAACUCAAUUAGUGUUGACAUAUGGGUGAUAACUAGACAGUUUCUUUUUUGUAAAAAAGAUGUUGAUUAAAAUUUGGUUUUCUUCAGUUCUAAAAACAAUCAUCAGGUAAGAUUAGAGUGUCCAAAUAAUAUAAGCCAAGUUAUUAUCAAUCAAUAUUAUUUAUUUCUUUAUUUAUUUGUUAUUUACAUGUUGAUAUCUACUGGUUUUUGACUCCAGAAGGCCCUAAUUAUCUUAUAUAAUCAUGAUUGCUAGCCAUGUUAUGCGUUUGCAUUUUACUUUUUAUUUGUAGACUCAUGCUUUUUAUUUUCAUUGUACUCCGUUGCACUUCUCAGGUUUAUAUGUUUGCAGAAUGGUAUAAACCAGGGUGCUUGCUUGAAUAUCCUCUUCAUGGAAGUGGGGCAGUAGUAGAUGCUCUUGUGCGAGGAAUGCAAAAAUUUGGUGGAAGGCUUGCAUUGGGUACUCAUGUUGAAAAUAUUCUGGUUGAAAAUGGUCGAGCUAUUGGCGUCAAGUUAAGGAGUGGACAGGUAAGUGUUCGUCAUAUAUGUUUCCCUUAAUUGUCUGCACCUAGGCUUUUCAUUUGGGUUUUAUGCAAUUUCUGGGAAUGGUAGCAGCUGACUAGUUCAUUGGCGUUGAUCUUUUAUGUAGAUUGUACGUGCCAAGAAAGCUGUUGUAAGCAAUGCAUCUAUGUGGGACACUUUGAAUUUGCUACCAGCAGAUGCCAUCCCAAAAUCUUACCAAACUAAAGUUAAAGAAACCCCACAAUGUGAAUCAUUUAUGCAUCUCCACUUGGGUUUUGAUUCACAGGUCAGCUGAAAUUCCUUUCCUUUGUGUUUGAAACUACAUUAUGCAUAAGUAAGUGAUUUUUUUCCAUUUCUGAGUAUUUUACUGGAGAAGCAAAAAUUGAUGCAAUUUCUUCGUAGAGGAUGACUGACCCAAAUAGUCUUUUCGAUUCACCAUUGUACAGCAAAGUACUAGCCAACUAAUGCUACUUGAUAGCAUUUUCCAUCGUGUCUUAACAUUGAAAUAAAAAGCUAGUUGUCUUUUUAAUAAGAUAAUCUCCUUACCAAAAUUUUCUGAAAAAUAAAAGAGCAAAUUUGAUGGGUCAUUAGAUGGCAUUUCUGUUCCCUGCAAAAGUUCACAAAGAUUGUGUUUCAACUUUCAAUGCUGGACAUCCUUCUUGCUAUCCAUUUAACAAAGAGCUUCUGUUCCCCUCUGCAAGAGAUUUACACAAUUGAAUACGUCUUUUUAACUUUUCUGCAUCUUUGGCUUUAUUUGGUUCUCCUGCAAAGCAACUAAUCACAUGUAGUUGACAGGACAUCCUGGAAGGCCUGGGAAUCCAUCACAUAGUUGUUAAUGAUUGGAGCAGGGGUGUAGAUGCUGAUCAGAAUGUUGUCUUAAUUUCUGUACCUAGUGUGCUCGGUAAAGACUUGGCACCCCCGGGGAAACAUGUUUUGCAUGCUUAUACUCCAGGAACAGAACCAUUUGGCUUGUGGGAAGGGCUUGAUCGUAGAAGUGCAGAGUAUCGAGGACUCAAAGCAGAACGAUCAGAGGUAUAGAUAUUUGAUCCUAGAUCAUUACUUCAUUUUUCUGUUACUUCUAUAAUCACUUUAAGGUCAAGAAGUAUUAGAAUUUUCUAAACCACUCAAAUAGCUGACCUUGAAGGCAUUGUAUUUCUGUCUGUCAUUAUGUUUUUUUAAUCUGUUUGUUCUGUUUAUAGGUAACACAUUUAUAGCUGUAAAAAGCCUGACAGUUGAGUUUAAUUUGUUACUCAUCCCUUCGACUUCCUAUAGCAUAAGCUUCCUUGCCAACUUCACAUACUUUGAUGGUGAUUCUUUACUUGCAAGAUGAAUUUCACUAGAUUAGGUAAACAGGGAAGUUUAAGGUUUCCAUGGUUGACUUGAGACAUAAACUGCUUUAGAACUUUUGUGACUGAUCUUCUUGUUUAAAAUAUUUAGUCCAGCUGAAAUCAAUCCAUCUUCUUUGUUUCCUUAAGCUGUGAAUGGUUCUUUUGGUCUCAGGUAAUGUGGAGAGCUGUUGAACGUGCUCUGGGUCCUGGAUUUAGUCGUGAAAAUUGUGAUGUGAAAUUGGUAGGAACGCCACUUACUCACCAGAGGUUCCUUAGAAGGAAUAGAGGAACAUAUGGCCCAGCUAUAAAAGCUGGAGAAGCCACGUUUCCUGGUCAUUCAACACCCAUCCCACAGCUCUUUUGUUGCGGCGAUUCAACUUUUCCAGGAAUUGGAGUUCCAGCAGUGGCAGCUAGUGGCGCUAUAGUUGCCAAUUCUUUGGUAUCUGUUUCGCAACACUCUGAGCUUCUUGAUGCUGUUGGAAUUUGAUUGCCAUGGUCAGCAUACAGCUUCUUUGUAUGUUAUUAAUGUCUGUUCCUUUUGAUAUACUUCUCCCAAGCACUUUUAAUAAAUUCUUUUAUUUUUCAAAUAAUCUCUACUGCUUUGCAUGCUAAGCUAUCUAAGAUUUCUGACUGUAGUGGUGCGUCAUGGACAACAGCAGACAUAAAGCCAGUUUGUAGAGGUUCAUGAUUGACAGCACUUGAAAUUGGUGACUUGGUAAUGGCAAUGUAAAUUUCUAAGGAGAGGCUGCAAAAAACCCUGUGGCGGCUUUUGAACUUCUGUAUUAUAUGUGCAAUUUGUUUGGACAACAGACUGGUUAUAUCAAAAAAUACACAUCACAAACACUGUACCAUGAAUUCUCAAAAACAUUGUAUGUUGGAGAUACUAUGAUCUACUAAUGCAAGUUCAGAUUGCCCUGACUCUCUUGUCAAUCUAGGUGAGAGUGUGCAAUGAGAAUUUGUGCCAUGGAGUGUUCUAUAACCAUAACUAAUGAUCUUGGUCCUACCUAUGCAGACAAGGUCUAUGGAUCAUAUUUCAUUGACCAUUCCCUUUAUUCUUUCAACGCCUUUCUCACGAAAUGAACAUUCCUUUCACUCCCCACUUUUGUCACAGGAUAGAACAAAGCAUUUGCUCUUGUAUCUUUUUCUCCUGAGAUGGAAUUGGCCAACGAGCAACCAACCUACAUUAGCUAAGGUGUGAGUGGAUAAUAGAUCACUCCCAUAGCAACUAAACAUGUCAUGCCUCUCACCUCCCCCAGGUUGGGUGAGCAAUAAAUGUCGUCAUUACUGGUUGGAUGGGGCUCAAUCUGCCAACUCUGUUCAAAUCCAAGAAUCCACUGCUCUUCAGCCAAAAUUUUUCUGAACAUCUGCAUUUCUCAGCCCUAUGUUUCCUCAUCCCGCACACUCUGUAUUUCUCAUCCCAUAUUGGUUAGUGUAUGGCCAUUAAACAUCAGGGGGAAGGUCGAAUCCUUGCUUUGGUAUUAUUAUCUAUCUAUUUAGAUAGAUUUAUCAUUUAAAAAUCAAGAAAAAACAUGCAUUGCACGUGCCAUACUGUAGUCGGUCAUUGUUGCAAUCCCAAGAUUUUCUAUAAUGCUCAUUCCUAACAUUGUCAAACAAAUUUCUUAAUAUUUUACUAGUCUAAAUUUCUAGUGAUUUUAUAUGUUCAUAGAUUGUGAAGCACAUAUAUAAAUAUUGGCAAUGACAAGAACAAGAAGUUCAUCUUGGUGGGCAUAUAUUUCCUUUGAUUAUAUAAAUCUAAUCUAAAUAAGUAACAGUCAUUUAUCCUGCAUCACACUAUUUCUGAAUGAAUGAUUGAAUGGUCCUUUCUAUCUCGAAUGAGUUAUGAUCCGCAUUUAGUGACGAGAUUUUUGAUCAAUGAAUUGUAAUUAUUACAAAUUUUUACCUUUUUUUAUAGAAAGAGAUCAUUUUCUAAUGUUGUUGUUGGUGGUGAUGAUGAUAGUGGUACACUCCUCCAUAUACAAGUUCUUGUCAUCCACUAUUUCCCAGGAAGUCUAUAUUAAAAAUUUAAAGUUCUCAUCUUUCUCAUUCCACUCUCUCUUUUUAGGUAAGCACUUCAACCUAUCUGGAUCACUUAAGGUCUUGUGUUGAUAUUAUCUUUUAAUAAGAUGAAUAUUUCUUUUGGACGUGGGAACUAGAAUGCAUUAAUGAAAAAAACCAACAUCAUGAGUUUAUUUCUGAUUGGCCUAUUGCAAUAACAUCCAAUUUCUCUGUUUAUAAAUCUUGAUUAUAGGGAAUGUAGUUGAGCAGUCCUUUCAUUCUCAGUUGGCCUAUAGCUAUAGCUAGAACUACGCAUCUAAAUAACUAGUUAUUCAAAAUGUGAUCAAGUGCUCUAUGUAGGCCGGUAGACAGUUAUUGCAAAUUCUCCUUGUAUUUAGAAUAUAUGAGACAUUCUGGAGCAUAAGGUUUGGUCCCUGGCACAAGAAUAUUAAUUACCAUGGAAGCUUUUAAUCCAUUGUUCAUGAUACCUUGAAGCACAUCUCCAUCUGCCCAUAUUAAGUAUCAUGUUCCUGAUCAAAAUAUUGAGCACCAUGUUGUACAUACUCCACUCAUAAGAAGUCAUGGUUUCUUCAAUUUUGAUACCCCCUUCCCGUGAACCAAACGGGUCCCAAGUAUUUGACAUAGAUAAUCAUCAUGCAAUUUCUUUGAAAUAAUUGAUAAUGCUCUUGCAGUUAUUCUAAAAGACAUGUUUAAAUAGGCAGUUGUCAUUUAAGCUUUUUUAGAUGGCGGUGGGGUUGGGAUCAAGCUUAAGGACUCUUUGGCAUAUGCAACUCUCUCCAUCAACCCUUACAUGGUGCAAAAGUUCACCGAAAAAUGUAGUGCUCCAAGUUGGAGUUCCCUAAUGGGCAGCAAUCCAGUCUGCAAAUUGGUUGCACUCCUAAUACGUAUAGUUGAGGUGAAACUCCUAGAUGCAAGAACCAUAUUUCAACACUGAUAUAGCAUACUGUAGACCAAUCCAAGCAGCUUGCAAUUCAAUACCAGAGUUGUUGUAGACAUAGAAUUGUUGUAAAUAGAGGAUUCGGCUAUAAGAGGACAUCUCUUAUAUGUUAAACCACGAUUCUAAGUGCUGGAUUAGGGAUCAUCCUUCGCUGACCCCUCGAAUUUGACCAUAACAAUUCAGAGGGAAGGGAAUAGCAAAGUGAACCAAUGGACUGAAAAGGAGCUGCGCAAAACACUAGAGCUAUCCCAGUGCUUGGCUUCCCAACUAAGGUCCAUUGGAGGCUAGUGAACGUUAUUCUGCUGUAGAUAUGCAGCAGACUACUACAGUUGGACUGGUCGAGCUAGGAAGCUAGAAGAAUAAUGCUUGCCACAUUUGUUAGUUCCAAAUUUAAAUGAACUCUUAAUUGGACCAUAGGCAUCAUCUAUUUAGCUUGUACCUCAAAAUAUCCCAUACUCUGUUAUAUAUAUAUAUAUAUGUAUGCAUUUAUGUACAUAUGUAUAUAUAUGUGUACAUAUACAUAUACAUAUAUACAUACAUAUGUAUAUAUAUAUAUGACUAUUAUAAUAUAAUAAUGAUAGUAAAUAGUACUAUCAUAAUAUUAGUAUAAUAUAAUACAAUAUACUAUAUUACUAGUUAUUAUAAUAUUCGAUAGAAAGUAUUACAAUUAUUAUUAUUAUUAUUAUUAUUACAUAUAAAUAUAUUAUUAUAUAUAUUAUAAUAUUAUUAUAAUAUAUGAAUGUGAUAUUAUUGUUUUAGUAUAAUAUUAUGAUAUGACUAUAUUAUAAUACUAUUUUUAACAUAAUAAAGCGUGAAGUAUUAUUGAUCUAUAAUGUAUACAUUUUAUUUUAAUCUAAAUAUUAUAAUAAACAAUGUAAUUAUCUUUGAAAGGGUGAUUACCAAGUAAUUAAGAUGGAUUAUAAAGGAACAAAUAUAAUAACUACAAAAUUUGGGGUAUUUUGGUCACACAAAGAGCUUCUGGUAGGACUAGAAAGCUAUUUUAGCCUUUUACCAAACACUUAUAUAUUAUCUAGAAGUGCUUUUUAGGCUCUAGAAAGCACUUUUGGCCCUUCCAAAAGCAAUCCAAAUGGGGCUUAAGUUUCUCUUAUCAGGAUAAUCAUCCAUAUAAAAUAAAUUUCUCUCUAAUCAUCUAAAUUUUUUGAAAUUUUCUGGCUUGCUGCACCUCCCCUUGAUCGCAUAGGAUACUUCAACUCUUUCAGAUAAGACCAAUUAUUGAUGUUACAAAUUUUUUAAUUAUCAUUUGAUAUUUUGCUUGCCCCAGGUUUUCCAAUGUCGCCUGCCCCCAGAAGCACUUGACCUGGUGUGCAGGUUUUCUGCAGUACCCACCAAAUCUGCGGUGCACUGCUGUAUGUUCGGAUCAGAUCAUACCCUUUGAACAGCAUGAUUUAUUUGUGAUAGUAUCAAUAUGCUGUUGAAUUCUAAGCAUGUGAUAACCUGCAGUUGGAAGCCUGCACGCACCCCUUCUUUGAUGAGCUGAGAGACCCAAAUACUCGUCUACCCAAUGGCUGUCCUCUUCCUCCCUUCUUUAACUUUAAACAUCAAGGUAAGAAACCCUCGGGAUAAUGAGCAUAUAUUAUAGCAUAAAGCAGCAAGUAAUUCUUUUGUUUUGGCUAAUAUUAUAUAAAUUUACAUGUGGAUGUGACUUUGUUACAGUGAUUAAACACCAUCCUACCUCCAAGAGCUUGAUGAUCAGUCAUUGGACCAUUGCACUAUAUCACUUUUAUAGCCUUUUUUUCAUGAAAAUCAGUAUUGUGUAAUCUCCUUCAGCUACCAUAAAGCAAUACCCCAACAACAUGAAUUACCAUUUUCUUGCUUGAUUUUUUUUGUUAGGACGGACAAAUCGCAAAAGCCUAGUUUGAGUACAUCCACAAGAGUCAGAAAAUAAAAUAUCCUGAAAAGGAGGUAGCGGGGCUGCACCGUCCGUCCACAGCGUCUUGCUGGAAUGAUCGGCAAUAAAAGAUGCAAACCAAUCCACGGCUUUGUUUGCCUCGCGGUAAACAUGACUAUUUGCUUGCUAGUAAAUAUAAUAUUAUGAAUCCUAGUAAGUAAUAUAUUAUCUAUUUACAAAUUCUUAGGUAUAAUUUUACUGUUUGCUUGAUGAAGGUCUGAUUAAGUGAUCCCUGUACAUGUCUUUAUACAAGCAUAUUAUCUUUUGAUUGAAUACUUGUUUAAGAAAUUUUUUCGUCCAAUGUUUUGCUAAUUUGAUAUUCUAUCUAGAUGAUGACUCGUAAAGCAUAUAAAGCCAAUAUAUUUUCUUCAUUUUAUAUUGUAAUUUCCAAUAUUUGGAUGAUCACAUAUAUGCAAGUCAAUAUGCACAUUUUCAGCUCUUGCAUUGAUGCAUAGUCUUCUGUCUCUGGCUUGCCAGCUCAUGACCAUGGCGGAGAUUAUGCUCAUCCCUCCAAAUGCUCUUGAACGCCUUGCUCCAGAGCAUGCAAGAGAGCAGAGUUUGUGCAUGGCCUUGCAACUUUGUAGGUUCGAGAAAUGAAGCAUUCCAGUUAUCCCUUUUCAUCGGGUUUGGUGGUUCAUGAGAUAUGUAAAUUCACGGUUCUUUUUUUAAUUUCAAUUUCUCUAUUGAUAUUUUUCUUUUUCUUUAAAAAAAACCUGAAACACUGAAAUUUCCAGACAACAUGAGAUUGCAAGGCUUAUUUUAUAAUAUCAGUUAUGUUAUAUCUCCAUCAAGAAGAAUCAUAAUUUACUUGUGAAUUGUGACUGCAAUGGGUGGGUCCCUCCCUUCCUUUCACUAAAAAAAAAAGCAUCUGACUGCAAUGAGUUCUAUGUUAUGAAAUUCAAUAGCUAGCUUGAGCCCUAUAAGCAAAACCACUGUUCCAGUGAGAAAAAUUGAUCAAGUUCCCGAAAUGUUGCUUUUUUGGAACCAGCUGAAUCUGGUGUUGAUUCUGAGCUAGUGGAACUCAUUGUCAAUUGUCUUUGCUGAUUAUAAAAGACACUGUCCUGUAAGCUUUACUGACAUUAACAAAAAUUAGGAUUUAAUUGUGAGUUUCUGACUGCUUUGAACUGCAGCAUCUGCUUAAGCCCUAUAAGCAAACAACCACUACUCCAGUACAGCCCCCCCCCAACAAAAAAAAACAAAAAAAAUAAUCAAACAGUUCUCCAUAUUUCGACCGCCUGAAUCAGGCCGCAUUGUUGAGCCAAUGGAACUCAUCUUGUUAAUAUUUUUGCUAAUUAUAUGCCCUAUAAGCUCGCUGGGAAUAGAUUUGGAUGGACAAAGGCUUGAUAGUGCUGCAGGACUUUGAUUAUUCUUCUGAGAAACGGCGUUAUAUUGCAACCAUGAGUAAAUGAUCAGAAAUCAACAUCCAGAAACAUUCUGCUUGCAUUCAUAUAAAAGGCCGAACAGGUUUAAAUUCAGGGCAGUGAAGUUGGAGAUUCUCUAUGGAGAAGCAAAGGUGGUCGGAAAUCAAGUUCUGCUUUAUUUUAUAGAUGCUGAAGUGAAAGAAAAUAAAUAAAAUGGAGCUUUAAAUUCUGCAUAGUUUGUGAAAUAAAUUAUUUUUCAAAUAAUUUCAUAAAAACAUCCAAGAAAGGUUGUAUAGCAUAUUUUGCGAACUCAAGCUACAUGAUGGAUAUUCUAAGCAUGAAAUUGCAUGACAUGAAUCUGCUUGCAAUACAUGAAGAAUACAACUAUUUCGUUGAUUAAUGAUUAUCACCGCAACACCAUUUUACUUGUACAUUAACAUCCAUCCAUCCAUCCGGAGGCAUCUGAAAAAUUUGGAGCGGUAUUUUGGCAUCUCCAAUCAAUGCAGACCAGCAUGAGAUGAAAAUUGUUAGUGGGAUCUGCUUUUCAUGUUUUAAAUUUAUAAUGACAAAGUUGUAGGCUGGCAAGCUUUCAAAGUUGAAUUUAGGGAGUUUGGUGCAAGACAGAUGGUUUUAUCAUUAGAACACGACGCUUCUUGCCAAUCCAACCAAUCCAAUGAGGAUCUCCUGAUAUCACUUUGUAGCCUGCUUUUGAAUACAGGUUUUGAGCUGCUGAAUCAUCUUCGUAAGCUCGCAGAGCCAGGUAGCGGUAACCCCACAGAAGUGAGAGUGCAUCACAGGCUUUAAGCAGAAUAGUUGCUACUUUCUGCCUCCUAUAUAAACUAUUUUCUAUUAAUGACAAGUGAUUUGUUGAGUAGAAAAGUAAAUCAAAUGUGGAAAAUAUUUUGGUUUCUAGUAACAAGUGCAUGCUGAUAAUAAAGAAUCUUCCACCUUUUCUUUUUUCGUGCCUCGGCAACCAUGACAUUGAACUAUCCUUCAACUUUUCUGAUGAUGGAUCACAAAUGAAAUGUUGAAAUCAUGGAUACAUAGCAUCAUUUAUGAUAAGCCAAAAGGAUGCUCAUGAAGGAAUAAGGAAAAAAAAAUCUGUCACUUUGACAUUUGAACAAUGAGCAAAAAAUAGAUCAUGUAAUCAUUGCUCCUUUUUCUUUUUCUUUGCUUUCCUUUUUUUUCUUUGGAGGACAACAGUGGAACAGUACCAUCUGGACUCAAACAGGAACGUCUCCAAAGAAAAAGAAUUUUUUUAAUUAUUUAUGUAAGUUAAUUAAUCAUACCCUACCAGGCGGCGAAAAGCUAGUUUGAGUGCUUGGCAAUGCCAAGUAACCUGGGUUUCUGGCCCCCACACCUGUAGUGCUAAGGUCCAGGUUGAUAUCAUGAGAGAAAUCGUACCCCGCAUUCUCCACUAAGCAUCAGGCUUGCCAUGCACAUUCUCAUGGAGAUAGGCUUUUAUAAGGAUUUUGCCGUCAAACUAUUGAAAGACAUUAUGUCGAACAACUGCUAAGUGGCUGCAUGGAAGUCCUCUCUAUGUAAUAUUCCAAAAUCUAACUAAUUUCCUUUCCUCAAUCAAAAUACUAACAGAAUGACAACUGCAUAGAAUUCUUGCAUAUUUCGGUGAUAGUUGGUUUUGUCCUCUAAGCAUCAGCCAUGAAAUCUAAGCUUAUAAUCAUAAAAACAUUCAUGCAAUUAGUACUCCCUAUGAGUAGUAUGACGAGGUAGUUAGAAAACUGCACUUACCUAAAUUUCUUGAGAACAGCCAUCCCUGACACAUACAGAUACUCUUCUACACCUUCAAGAUGUCUAAGAACUUCUUCAUCUCUCUGGACUGUCACAUCUACAACCCCCACAAGCUCAUGCUCCGGUGCCCGUAACAAGUCAGGUACAUUUACAGAUUCCACGACCAAACAAGCAUACCUGCCGAAGAAGCACUCACAUAUAUAAAGAAAAUCAGAAAUGUGCAUGUUUAUUUUAUUCUUACAAUCUGAAAUAUGUAUACUUAAAAUAUGACGUUCUUAAAAAUUUCUAUACUCCCAUGUGGUAGUAAGAUGGUCUCCUAUCAUUCAGCAACAUCAUGCACAAACUUAGUUUACACUUAGAAUGUAAGCAAUUUGAACAGUAAUAAGUGAAUGGGCAGUUGAAUCUAAAAUAGCAAAACCCGUUAUUGAUGCAGAUGUAUAUAUAUUGAAAAAAAUAUGCAAUGGCUUAUGGAAUCACCCCGAUUUUAGGGCUUAUGCGCCAGCCCAGAGUGGGCCCAACAACGCCUAGCCCUGCCCGACAGCGCCCAGCCCAACCCUUGGGCUUCUGGGCCAGCCCGAAGAGGCCAGGCCCAAGGCUGCCAUGCCUUGUGGCAUGAUGCAGCGGAGAAGGAAGUUUUCUUCCUCUUCCAAUUUGGGCCGAAACUGAAGUUAUUUAGGCAAUCUGAGUUCGACUAGAACUUUAGGAUUUCACUUAUUUAACUCCUCCUCCAUUGAAAGCAGUCCACAAUGAGUCCAAGAAUCGUCGCCGAUCUCGAUCAUCCUUCACCGAGUCUUCUCCUUGAUUUGUCGUCUGGAAGAGUCGCCGGAAAGCCUUGCUGGACUGAGGUAUGAGUUCUUCAUCUCAUCCUUUUUCUUUCUUAGAGUUUUGGGCCUUCAUUUCUUUGGAUUUGAGCUGGCAAUUGCCGGAUCUUUAUCCAAAAUAGAGCACCCUUGUUUUGGCCAUGAUUAGCCACUGCCGACCGCUGGAUUUGGCUGGGGUUGCAGCCACCCAAGGCCGCCAUCGGGUGGGUAGCUAGACCAUUAAGGCUGCCACUUGUUGCCGGCGAGAGGGAAGGAAGAAGAGAGACGGGAAGAUGGAUUCUUCCCUCCUCUCUAUUUUCUCUCUACUUUCUCUCUCUAGAAGUUCUAUGGAACUCAGAAUUAGGUCAUGUCGACCUGAUAUACGAACCCGAGUUGAUUCCUGAAAAGAGGCCUUGAACUGCCUUAGUAGACCACCUACUGGACCGAUCACUCCGGCUCUAUUGAAUAUCCCUGAAAUUCCCAUCGAUGAACCAUGUUGAUUGAUUUUGGCUCUGAUUGUGUUCGAUUCAUUGAGUGAAUCAUCUGCACCAGACCCACACGAAACCACAGUACGCUCGGUCAAGUAUUCUCGAAUUAUUAAUUUAAAGAUAUUAAUUAAAAAUUAAUUUUGCUGUUAAUAUUUUAAAUAGGUCUAGCGGAGUCGUCUAGCGAAGUCUGACUGUCUAAGACAAAAAAUGUAAGUAGAUCUUGCAUUCCUUAUUAUUUUUUAAAUUAUCAUAUUUUUUCUGCAUAAGAUUCGAUUGUGGAAAUGACAUAUUUUCUUAAAAUUAUGGUUGAAUAUAUGUGUUAUGAAAAUUAUACUUUAUUAGUUCUAUGUAUCUUGUAAUGAAAUAGUAUUGUUAUGAAAUAUGAAUAUGAUCAUCCCAUUAGUAAUUUUUAUCUAUUUAUGUGUAUGUUUUAAGAAGAAAAUUAUAAGUAUUUGAAAGGUUCUUAGAUAGCUAUGUAUGGUCCUCGCUAGUAGGUAUAAUAGUUGGUAAUGACUCUCGCCGGCGGGUAUAAUAGUUAGUAAUGGCCCCUCCAGUGGGUAUAAUAAUUGGUAGACUGUGGCAUGCAGUUGAUUACGACCCUAUCACGGAAAUAAAGUGACUAUAGCACAAAUAUCUGUGAGCAAUAUUUUGAUCCAAAAUAGGGUUAAGAGAUAUUAAGAAUGAUUUAUGAAUUCAUUUGCAAUAUAAACUUGGAACUAUGUUUAUGAAAAAGAUAGAUGAUUUAGGCAUGCAUGAUUGGCUUUAUGACUUAUUUUAAUAUAUUGUACUAUGAAAUGCUUUAUUAUGGCAAUAACUGUUAUUUUUCUUAAAUGAUGUAUUGACAUGGAAAAACUUAUUAUUGAUUCGAUAAGGUAAUGAAAGAUCUAUUUACUGAGCUGUGUCAUUCAUAUAUCUCUGUGGUCCAGACUUGAAGUUCGUACUAGCAAGCUUGGCAAAUUAUAUAGUAGAACUUUAGUUUUUUGGUUGCUUAUGAAUUUGUAGCUUAGUAAUCUUUUAAAUAUUGAGAAUUAUGGAUUGGUUUCUAUGUUUAAUGUAGAUGCUCUGAACCAAUAUUGGUUGUAUUUAAUGAAUAAUAAAAUUAAAUUUUUAUUAAUUAUAUUUUUUUUGAGAUGAAUUCAAAGUUAAGAUAGAUUUGAAAUUUUAAAUGAAACGUUUGGCUUUGUGUUAUCGUGGGUUUAUCUCUUGGUUGCACAACCAUAUCAUACUUCAGAUCUAGGGUGUAAUAAUUAUGCUCCGGAUUUGGGGCAUGACGGCUUGAGCAAAAAUAAAAAGGUAUUGAGACAAAACUGUAACCGAGCAAGACUCAAAGCAAAUUGUGCAGAUGUUCCAUGUUUGCCGGGAGAAGAAACUCCAAUGCCAUCCUCAAUGAAAUAGCUCAUUAUAUAAGCCUAAAAACCCAAACAUCGAGAGAUCCACCAAUUUGUCUGGAGUAUACAACGACUAAUAUUCUGAUACCAAUCCAAACUUCUGGUAUCUAAAAGAGCAAACAAUUUUUCAACAAUAAGAAAAUAUAUCCUGUAAGGUCAAUAAUCUUUUUUUCUUUUUAGGUCCAAAAAUGAAAAUGUCUCUUAGAAAUUAUAGUAGCUUGACUAGAGU